GUGAGACAGUGGGGGAUAAGCUUCAUUGUCAAGAGGGAAACAGCCCAGACCACCAGCUAAGGUCCCCAAAUCAUCACUAAGUGAUAAAGGAGGUGAGAAUGCCUAGACAACUAGGAGGUUUGCCUAGAAGCAGCCACCCUUGAAAGAGUGCGUAAUAGCUCACUAGUCAAGCGUUCUCGCGCCGAAAAUGAACGGGGCUAAGUGAUGUACCGAAGCUGUGGGAUUACUAAUAAUAAUCGGUAGGGGAGCGUUCCGUCGUAGGUAGAAGCAGUAGCGGCAAGCAGCUGUGGACGAAACGGAAGUGAGAAUGUCGGCUUGAGUAGCGCAAAUGUAUGUGAGAAUCAUACACCCCGAAACCCUAAGGGUUCCAGAGCCAGGUUCGUCCACUCUGGGUUAGUCGGGACCUAAGGCGAGGCCGAACGGCGUAGUCGAUGGACAAAGUGUCAAUAGUCACUUACUGUUCUGUGGGAGCAUAGACAGGGACGCAUGAAAGAUAGCCAUACCCUGAUUGGUUUGGGAGGGGUUUACGAACUCUGAGUGGUGAAGGAAAGUGCCAAGAAAAGCUGUGUAUGUGAUGAAGAUAGAACACCCGUACCCGAAACCGACACAGGUAGGGAGGUUGAGAAUACCAAGGGGCGCGAGAUAACUCUCUCUAAGGAACUCGGCAAAAUGGCCCCGUAACUUCGGAAGAAGGGGUGCCCACUGAAUAAGUGGGUCGCAGUGAAGAGAUCCAAGCGACUGUUUACCAAAAACACAGGUCUCCGCCAACUCGCAAGAGGACGUAUGGGGGCUGACGCCUGCCCAGUGCCGGAAG
rnacentral:rRNA from 1 species